GUGAAACAAGACUAUAAAUAUUAGAGUUCAUUAAGGCAACUAGAAACUCAGCCAAAUUAAAAUAUUUCUUGUUCUUCACAAUUAAAAUGGCAUCAAUAAAAAUUGAGAAACCAGUUGGUACUCAACCAUCUGCCUCUACAAUCAAGAAAACAUCAACUAAGGCUCCUACUGCUUCCAAAUCCGCCCCGAAAAAGACUCGCGAGCCUAAGAAAAAGGCAUCAGGUAGCAAGGCAGGUGGAAAGAAUAAUAACUAAGAAGAAGUUGGAGUAAUUAAUUAGAGUAUGAUGAAGAAUAUAAUUGUCGUUGUUUAAAAUUAUGAGUGAUGUACUUUUCUUCUCUUAAUGAAAUAAUCUCAUACUCUU